AAAGGGAGCUGGAUGGUCGCCCCCCUGGUUAGAUUUGCGAAGCAAAUCUAGGGGGGAGGAAAGUCCGAGCUCCACAGGGCAGCGUACCCCGCUAACCGCGGGGCCUCCCGGGGCGACCCGGGGGAGGAUUUCCGUCGAAAGGCGGAUCCGCCACGCUGUGUGGCGGAAGAGCCACAGAGACGAGCAGCCCCCAUGUUUAGAUUUGCUUCGCGUUGCGAAGCAAAUCUAUGGGGGGGACGUGAAACGCGGCAAUCUCUACGCGGAGCAAGGCCAAACGUCUCGCUUCUCGGGUGGCCCGCCCGAGUCCCCGCCUGACGGCGGGGCGGUGAGGAGGUAGGCCGCAGGAGCUCCGUUGCAAAGCGGGGCCAAGAUGGAUGGCCAUCACUCCCAUACUUUCCUGCCCCUCUCACGAGGGGAAAGUAGCAUGGGGGCACAGAACUCGGCUUACAGGCUCCCUUUCGGU
rnacentral:RNase_P_RNA from 6 species